rnacentral:rRNA from 1 species
AGAGUUUGAUCCUGGCUCAGGAUGAACGCUAGCGGCAGGCUUAAUACAUGCAAGUCGUGGGGCAGCAUGUCCCGCAGCAAUGCGGGAUGAUGGCGACCGGCAAACGGGUGCGGAACACGUACACAACCUUCCUUUUAGUGGAGAAUAGCCCAGGGAAACUUGGAUUAAUACUCCGUAACAUAUAGAAGUGGCAUCACUUUUAUAUUAAAGCUCCGGCGCUAGAAGAUGGGUGUGCGGCUGAUUAGGUAGUUGGCGGGGGUAAACGGCCCCACCCAAGCCGACGAUCAGUAACUGGGUGUGGAGGAGCACGGACCAGUCACCACGGGGCACUUGAAACACGGGGCCCGACUCCCUACGGGGAGGCAAGCAGUAAAGGAAUUAUUGGUCCAUGGGCCCCAGUCUUGAACCCACCCUGGCCCCCGGGGAAGGAUGGAAAGGCCUCCCGGGAUUUGGAACUUUCUUUUUAUCUGGGGAAAAAAAAUCCUUUUUUUUUUAAAAUGGGUUGAACGGGACCCCAAAGAAAUAAACACCCGGGUAAAUUCCCUGGCCACCACCCCCGGGUAUAACGGAAGGGGGGCAACCGUUUUUUCCGGAAUUUCCUGGGUUUUAAAACGCGCUGGCGGUAAGGUGGGGCAAGAAAUCCAAUCUCCCGGGGUCCCCCGGAAAGUGCCAUUGGAGACUCAAAUUUGUCCUUGUAUAACUGCGGAAGUCAGCGCGAAUAAUGUCAUGUGAUCGGUGGAAAAAGGUUUUUAAUAUUGAGAUAGAAACACCCACUUGGCGUGAAGAGCGGCUGUACUAUCACCACAUAAUUUGACUUGAGCAGAAGCGUGGAAUCAACAGGUUUAUUUCCGUGUUCUCCCCCCCAUAAAUUAGGUAUCCUCACCUUUGCGAUAACUCCAAGUGUAGGAGCGAAAAGCAAUAAUUCUCCCCCUGGGAAGUCGUUCGCAGGUUGAAUCUCAAGGGAUUGGGGGGGGGUCCGCACAAGCGGUGGACCAUGGUUUUAAUGGGUUAUCCGGGAGAACCUUACCUGGUAAAAAUUCCAGGGCCGUGGGUAAAACCUCAUUUUGACCAAUCCCCCGUGAAAAGGUGCUCCAGGUUUUCUUCAUCUGUCCCGGGAGGUGUGGGUUUAAGUCCCCCAAGGAGCCCACCCCCCUUCAUUAGUUCCCAUCAGUAACCGCGGGAAACUUUAGGGAAACUCCCGUCGUUAGGACUUGAGGAAGGGAGGGGAUGAUGUCAAGUCAUUCAUGGCCCUUUAUGCCCCAGGGCUACCACCACGUGCUACAAUGGAGUGGACAAAGGGCUGCAACAUAGUGAUAUGAAGCUAAUCCCAAAAACCACUUCUCAGUUCAGAUUGGAGUCUGCAACUCGACUCCAUGAAGCUGGAAUCGCUAGUAAUCGUAGAUCAGCAACGCUACGGUGAAUACGUUCCCGGACCUUGCACACACCGCCCGUCAAGCCAUGGAAGCUGGGUGUACCUAAAGUCGGUAACCGUAAGGAGCCGCCUAGGGUAAAACUAGUGACUGGGGCUAAGUCGUAACAAGGUAACC